AUUGAACGCUGGCGGCAGGCCUAACACAUGCAAGUCGAACGGUAACAGGAAGAAUCUUGCUUCUUUGCUGACGAGUGGCGGACGGGUGAGUAAUGUCUGGGAAACUGCCUGAUGGAGGGGGAUAACUACUGGAAACGGUAGCUAAUACCGCAUAACGUCGCAAGCCCAAAGAGGGGGACCUUCGGGCCUCUUGCCAUCAGAUGUGCCCAGAUGGGAUUAGCUAGUAGGUGGGGUAACGGCUCACCUAGGCGACGACCCCUAGCUGGUCUGAGAGGAUGACCAGCCACACUGGAACUGAGCCACGCUCCAGACUCCUACGGGAGGCAGCAGUGGGGAAUAUUGCACAAUGGGCGCAAGCCUGAUGCAGCCAUGCCGCGUGUAUGAAGAAGGCAUUCGGGUUGUAAAGUACUUUCAGCGGGGAGGAAGGGAGUAAAGUUAAUACCUUCACUCAGUGACGUUACCCGCAGAAGAAGCACCGGCUAACUCCGUG
rnacentral:rRNA from 1 species